rnacentral:rRNA from 1 species
AACGAACGCUGGCGGCAGGCCUCAAACAUGCAAGUCUAGGGGGUGCAGCAAUGCAUCACCGGCGGACGGGUGCGUAACGCGUGGGAAUAUACCUUUUGGUUCGGAACAACUGCGGGAAACUGCAGCUAAUACCGAAUGUGCCCUAACGGGGAAAGAUUUAUCGCCAAAGGAUUAGCCCGCGUAGGAUUAGCUAGUUGGUGAGGUAAUGGCUCACCAAGGCUCCGAUCCUUAGCUGUUCGAGAGAAGAUCAGCCACACUGGGACUGAGACACGGCCCAGACUCCUACGGGAGGCAGCAGUUGGGAAUCUUGGACAAUGGGGGAAACCCUGAUCCAGCCAUGCCGCGUGAGUGAUGAA